rnacentral:tRNA from 1 species
CAUCAGAUGACUGAAUAGCAAGUGUUGGUCUCUUAAACCAAUUAAUAGUAAUUUAGCAACUACUUCUGAUGA